GGGGGCGUAAAGGUUUCGACAGGGGUUUGGAACCAAGGGAAGCGAGCAGCGGUGCGGAACCGCUAUAAAAUCCGCAACCUUUAAAAUUAAACGACAACAAUCAAGUUGCUCUUGCAGCCUAAUUAAGGCUGCCGUCCGACCCGGAACUACCGCGAUCCGGUAAGGGCGUCAUUUAGCGGUGAACGUGCGCAGGGCGAUGCCUCUGACCCUGCCAUGCAUCAGAGGCUACUGAAACGGUCUGCCUGACGGCGGGCGGACCGCGGAGGGAAUGUUUAUACACCGUCUGCGCUCGGAGAUGCCUUUGGCAACAGGCUUUUGGACAGGGGUUCGACUCCCCUCGCCUCCACCA
rnacentral:tmRNA from 1 species